UAAAAUGGGAAAUAUUUUUGGGGUGGAAUGGAUAGAGAUAAUGGGGUAUGCUAGCAGACAUUUCUACCACCAUAUUCUUCUCAUCUCUCUUUCACAGAUUCUUCUUUCUUAGUGUCCAUGAAUCCACUCUUUCAAACUUCUUUUUCUUCCUCUUCUUGGGCUGCUCUCUUGUGUAGUAGUUGUUCUUCUUGUGUUGCUUCUUUGUUGCCCAUAUCUCCACAUGGGAGCUUUGUUGGGAGUCAAAGUUUAACAAACACAUAGAUUUAUUUUCUCUUUUGGGGGGUUUUAUGUUUGUUGAUGAAGUAGAUUUCGUGUCAGAUUCUUUGCCGGGAUGUUCUGAUUUGAUGAGUUAAUUUGGAAUCUGAGUUGGUGAUGUUUGGCCCAUUUCUUGUUCUGGGUUUUGGUUGGUAGCUGAGAGGAUAAUUAGCAAAUUCUGUUUGGAAUUGGAAGUUCAGAAUCUGGGGAUUCUUUGAUUCUUUUUUGGGGCGUGGUGAAUUUCUUUACUCAAAUUUUUGGGACUUGUUUGCCAUCUGAUUUUGAGGCUCUUUUGGUGGAUAAGAUAGCAUCUUGCUCACUCUGACCUCCCUUUUCAUUCCCUUUGUUUGUAGUGAUUUUGGAAGUGGGUUGGGUUUGGCUCUUCCUCUUCUCUUCCCUUCCCUUCCAAGUUUAGAUUUUUUUUCCUUUUUUCUUUUGAUGUUGGUUUUCAGUAGACAGUUUCUGUAGAUUUGAUAGUGGCUCUUUCUCUCUAGAAGAAGUCAGACCCACUUCUUCUUGUAAAUGUUUCUUGUAGACGUUGUUGGACACUGUUGUGGAUGAGUUUUCUCCAUGUGUUGGGGUUUGGUCUGAAGGCGGGACAUCUCCUUUUGAUGCUAUGUUGCUGGAUUAUAUCUGUGAUCCCUGUGAACUGGUUCAUUAAUGGUGGAGUCAUGGAAACCAAGGCUGGUUUACUUAGUGAUGGUGGAAAGAUAUGGAUGAGAUUGUGGGAGAAGAUGUUUGGGAACAGUGGUAAGAUCCCCCAUCACUGGUACCAGAAGUUUUGGUCCAAGAAGGUUGGAAGGACAUGGUGGAGAAAGCUUUUGUUUACAUGGGUUCUGAUGUGGAUCAUGGUGUCUUUGUGGAUCUUCUCGUAUCUGAGCCUACAAGCUUCUGAAAAGAGGAAGGAAACCCUUGGAAGCAUGUGUGAUGAGAGGGCUAGGAUGUUGCAGGAUCAGUUUAAUGUGAGUAUGAACCAUGUUCAGGCCAUGUCCAUUUUGAUCUCAACCUUCCACCAUGGCAAGAACCCAUCUGCAAUUGAUCAGGGGACUUUUGCGAGGUACACUGAAAGAACUGCUUUCGAGAGGCCCCUCACAAGUGGCGUGGCAUAUGCGGUGAGGGUGCUCCACUCGGAAAGAGAACAAUUCGAGAAGCAACAAGGCUGGACUAUUAAGAGGAUGGAUACGCCUGAGCAAACGCCGGUUCAUGAGGAUAACCAUGCCUCGGAGAACCUGGAGCCCUCCCCAGUUCAGGAAGAAUAUGCCCCUGUCAUUUUUGCACAAGAUACCGUCUCACAUGUGAUUUCGCUUGAUAUGCUGUCAGGAAAGGAAGAUCGUGAAAAUGUGUUGCGCGCAAGAGCAUCAGGAAAAGCGGUUCUCACCGCUCCUUUCAGGCUAUUCAAAACUAACAGCCUUGGAGUUAUAUUGACAUUUGCUGUCUACAAGUCAGAUCUCCCGUCAAAUGCAACACCAAAUGAGAGGAUCCAAGCGACCCAUGGGUAUCUUGGUGGAGUCUUUCAUAUUGAAUCACUCGUGGAGAAGUUACUUCAACAGCUUGCAAGCAAGCAAACUAUCCUUGUCAAUGUGUAUGACACAACUGAUACUGACCACCCAAUCAGCAUGUAUGGUUCAAAUGUGUCGGAUGAUGGCUUACAGCGUGUUAGCGCCCUUAACUUUGGGGACCCAUUCAGAAAGCAUGAGAUGCGCUGCAGAUUCAAACAAAAAGCACCAUGGCCAUGGCUAGCAAUAACAACUUCAACUGGCAUACUUGUAAUUGCAUUGCUUGUUGGGCAUAUAUUCCAUGCGACAGUGAACAGAAUAGCUAAAGUCGAGGAGGAUUACCGGGACAUGAUGAUGCUCAAAAAGCGAGCAGAGGCAGCUGAUGUUGCAAAAUCUCAGUUCCUUGCCACUGUUUCUCAUGAGAUCAGAACCCCAAUGAAUGGUGUUCUCGGAAUGUUACAUAUGCUUAUAGACACGGAUCUAGAUGUAACUCAACAAGACUACGUGAGAACUGCACAGGCUAGUGGAAAAGCUCUAGUGUCACUUAUAAAUGAGGUUUUGGACCAGGCAAAGAUUGAAUCUGGUAAACUUGAGCUUGAGGAAUUACAGUUUGAUCUGCAGGCAAUUUUGGAUGAUGUCUUGUCCCUCUUUUCUGGAAAAUCUCAAGAAAAAGGAGUGGAGUUGGCAGUUUAUAUUUCUGAUCGAGUUCCCAAAAUGCUAAUCGGUGAUCCGGGGAGGUUUCGCCAAAUCAUCACCAAUCUCAUGGGAAACUCAAUCAAAUUUACAGAGAAAGGGCACAUCUUUGUUACCAUUCAUCUUGUGGAGGAGUUGAUGGAUUCAAUAGAAGUUGAGACAGAGUCAUCAUCUAAAAACACCUUAAGUGGUCUCCCUGUAGCAGAUAGACGCUGCAGCUGGGAAGGAUUCAGGACUUUCAAUCAAGAGGGACUCACUAGUCCUUUCUCAUCAUCCUCCUCCGACCUCAUCCAUCUAAUUAUAUCAGUUGAGGAUACAGGUGUAGGUAUCCCUGAAGAAGCUCAAUCUCGUGUUUUCACUCCCUUCAUGCAGGUGGGUCCGUCCAUUUCUAGAAUACAUGGGGGCACAGGUAUCGGGUUAAGCAUAAGCAAAUGUUUGGUUGGCCUUAUGAAUGGAGAAAUCGGGUUUGUAAGUAGACCCAAUGUUGGAUCCACUUUCACUUUUACUGCUGUCUUCUCCGGUGGCUGCUCCAAAUCAAAUGAGUACAAGUGCCAGCCAACUAACAACCAGUCCAAUGCUGUCUCGUCAGAAUUUCAGGGCAUGGCAGCCUUAGUUGUGGACCCCAACCCUGUACGGGCCAAGGUGUCAAGGUAUCAUAUCCAGCGGCUGGGGAUCCGUGUUGAAGUCACUUCAGAUUUGAAUCAAGUUUUCUCCAGCAUAAGCAGUGGGAAUACAGCUAUCAACAUGGUCCUAGUUGAACAGGACGUUUGGGAUAAGGACUCAAACCUUUCUGCUCUCUUUGUUAAUAAAUUAAAGAAACUUGAUCUGGAGGUUCCUCCUAAACUGUUUCUUCUAGCUAAUUCCAUCAACUCGACCAGAAAUAGUGCUGCAAUUUCUGGGGUUUAUAAUCCAACUGUCAUCAUGAAGCCUCUGAGGGCCAGUAUGCUGGCUGCAUCUCUACAACGAGCCCUGGGUGUUGGGAACAAGGGGGUUUGCCAGAAUGGAGAGCACCCCAGUUUGUCUCUCCGCAAUCUUCUUCGUGGGAGAAAAAUUCUAGUUGUGGAUGACAAUAAUGUGAACCUCAGAGUGGCUGCUGGUGCAUUGAAGAAGUACGGAGCUGAUGUCGUCUGUGCAGACAGUGGGAAAAGUGCAAUCCCACUGCUUAAACCUCCCCACGACUUUGAUGCCUGUUUCAUGGAUAUCCAGAUGCCAGAAAUGGACGGGUUUGAAGCUACUGGGAUAAUUAGGGAAAUGGAACGGAACGUCAAUAGUCGAAUCCAACAUGGAGAAGUUUCUGUGGAAGCUUACGCAAAUAUUUCGAACUGGCACCUACCCAUUUUGGCCAUGACUGCAGAUGUCAUCCAGGCCACACACGAGGAAUGCCUGAGGUGCGGAAUGGAUGGAUACGUAUCAAAACCAUUUGAAGCUGAACAACUUUAUCGCGAGGUUUCACGCUUCUUUCAACCACCUCCAGAACAGAACCAAUAGAGGAUUUCCACAAGUCUACUACAGGCUUGCUGAUGACAUAAAGCUCAGGUGACCCAUCUUCAGGAUUCUUUUGAAUUCUCGAAUGGGAUCGACUUUUUCCCCACGAGAAAAUAACUUGUUUGGUUAACAAAGACUGUACAUACAAGCCAUGCCUGAUGGGUGGAGAUUGGAUUUGGAUUGAUUGCUUGACAACCCAGAUACCAUAACAGAUUCAUUUUUUCUCAGAAAAUAUUGAUCUCAUCUUCCAAGCCUUCCAUCAGGACCUUUAUUCGGGAGCAUGUGGAAGUAAAAGUUCUUCAAAGGGACUUCACCAUCUGGAGGGAUCAGAGGGACUCGGGUCUUUUCCCCGCAAGAAUAAUGAAGAAAGACCUCCUCCUCACCCCUUCCCUAUUUUUUUGUCCUUCACAUAAAUCACUGCUUGUAUAGAUAUGAAAGGUAGCAUAGCAGCCACAGGGGAUGAUGCUUCUUGUAUAUUACAAUUUUCAAUAAAGAUGAUGGGCAUGGGCUCAAACUGGCCUUCUGAUUCUAACAAUGCCAAAGGUUUGUUUUAUUAGGAGUUGAUGUAACCAAAACUACAAUUCGAAUUUUGAGUAAUCCCAUCUGAAUUUUUUCCUUUUUUGUA